UCGAUUUCUUCGGAAUGAAGUUUUAGUGACUGAGUGGCGGACGGGUGAGUAACGCGUGAGGAACCUGCCUUUCAGAGGGGGACAACAGUUGGAAACGACUGCUAAUACCGCAUAACACGUAGAGAUCGCAUGGUCUUUACGUCAAAGAUUUAUCGCUUCAAGAUGGCCUCGCGUCUGAUUAGCUGGUUGGCGGGGUAACGGCCCACCAAGGCGACGAUCAGUAGCCGGACUGAGAGGUUGAACGGCCACAUUGGGACUGAGAUACGGCCCAGACUCC
rnacentral:rRNA from 1 species